rnacentral:rRNA from 1 species
ACUGCGAGUGGAGAGGGAAAAGCUCAAAUUUAAAAUCUGGCAGUGUUUCACUGUCCGAGUUGUAACCUAGAGAAGUGUAACCUGCGCUGGACCGUGUAUAAGUCUCCUGGAAUGGAGCAUCAUAGAGGGUGAGAAUCCCGUCUUUGACAUGGACUACCAGUGCAUUGUGGUUGCGCUCUCAACGAGUCGAGUUGUUUGGGAAUGCAGCUCUAAAUGGGUGGUAAAUUCCAUCUAAAGCUAAAUAUUGGCGAGAGACCGAUAGCGAACAAGUACCGUGAGGGAAAGAUGAAAAGAACUUUGGAAAGAGAGUUAAACAGUAUGUGAAAUUGUUGAAAGGGAAACGUUUGAAGUCAGUCGCGUUGGUUGGGGAUCAGCCUGACAUUGUUGGGUGUACUUCCUGGUUGACGGGCCAACAUCAGUUUUGACUGCCAGAAAAAGGCCAAAGGAAUGUGGCACCUUUGGGUGUGUUAUAGCCCUUGGUCGUAUAUGGUGGUUGGGACUGAGGAAAGCAGCGUGCCGAAAGGCCGGGUUUCGACCACGUUCACGCUGAGGAUGUUGGCAUAAUGGCUUUAAGCGACCCGUCUUGAAACACGGACCAAGGAGUCUAACAUGCGUGCGAGUGUUUGGGUGGAAAACCCUUACGCGUAAUGAAAGUGAAAGUUGAGAUCCCUGUCGCGGGGAGCAUCGACGCCCGGACCAGAACUUUUGGGACGGAUCUGCGGUAGAGCAUGUAUGUUGGGACCCGAAAGAUGGUGAAC